rnacentral:ncRNA from 1 species
UGGCGCUUAAGCGCGCGACCUAUACCCGGCCGUCGGGGCAAGGGCCAGGCCCCGAUGAGUAGGAGGGCGCGGCGUUGGCCGCAAAACCCGGGGCGCGAGCCCGGGCGGAGCGACCGUCGGUGCAGAUCUUGGUGGUUGUAGCAAAUAUUCAAAUGAGAACUUUGAAGGCCGAAGAGGGGAAAGGUCAAGAAAUAAACUUUGACAAGUCAAUGAUCUUGUUUAGUCCCAAUACUCCAAGAGCUCAACGAACACUUU